UUGGUUGCGAUGAUUGUAAAAAUUCCUCGUACUGAUUGCCAUAUGGGCAUGACAGACAACUUUACACCCAUAGAAUAUGAGCACC